UUUUUUUUUUUUUUUUUUUAGGAAAUCUCUUUGUGAAUACACUCAAUGUGGCCAGAGCCAUCAUCCCUCCCUUAGCAGUGACGCAGAGGACUGCUGGGCUCUAUGUCCAGUAGCCUAUCGAGAAUCACACUUGAACUAGCCAGGCUGCCCUGGGAGGCUAGCCCCUGACGUCCUCGUGUAAUUGUCUCACACAUGGGCAAGUGGUUCGAUCUAUAAAACGUGUGGUUGCUACGAAUGACUGUUGUUGGUAAGGAGAGCUGGAAGCAUUCUCUUUUCUAGAUUACCUUUCAAAUAUUCAAAUCCAUGCACCAGCAGCAUAUGGCUAGAAUCCCUGCCGCACCCCCCAACCCCUCCACUCAGAUGUCUUCCAAUGUGCUUCAAUGAAUUCCAAAGCCACAUCAGGUUUGCAUUUUGAAAAUGCCAACUGUAUACUAACUGAAUGUGAGAGAUGAAGAAAUCGUUCAUAUUUUUUUUUAAAGAAAUGGUGUUUCUGCAUUCAUAUAGAAACCAGCUGUAUGGAUUUCUUUCUCUUUUUUCUAUCUUUUUUUUUUUUUAGCAUAGUGGUUCAUUUACAUUUUGAUAUUGUUGAAUAAAUAAUGUCACUGAGGGGUUCUUAGCUAAUUUUCAGUACGGCAGACCACGGCUGGACCUGUCACGCCCCCUCAGCCUCCUCAAAUUUAGGUCUAGAAGUACAACUCCAUUUGCUGUCUUCCUUCCUUCCUUCCUUCCUUCCUUCCUUCCUUCCUUCCUUCCUUCCUUCCUUCUUUUCGGAGGGAUUUGAGACAGGAUUUCUUUCCCUGGCUGUCCUAGAACUCACUCUACUGUAGGCCAGGCUGCCCUCGAACUCACAGACAUCCAACUGCCUCUGCCUCCUGAUUGCUGGGAUUAAAGGCCAUAACCUGGCUGUAACUCCAUUUUCUUGUUGCUGGGGGUUGAGCUUAAUUUGCGGGUGCUCUUUCUGCUUUUGUUUCUUGCUGGCUGUAUUGAUGGCUGUUCUUGUUCCUUGACAGGAUGCCUCGGGAAAGUAACUUAAGGAUUUGAGGAUACAGUCCAUUAUUCUGGGGAGGCAGGACAGCAGGCACAGGUCUUCUUGUGGCAGCAGGAAUGUGAGGCAGCUGGUCAUAUCGCAUCCACAGUCAGCAAACAGUGACGGAUGCUGCUGCUCCAUCUGCUCGCUCCUUCCUAUUCACUCUGAGACCCCAGUUUUGGUGACAUCUGGGACCCUAGCCCACAGGGUGGUACCUCCCUCAUUCAGGAUAGGUGAUCCUUUUUUUCAGUUAAACCUUUCUAAAGAUGCCCUCAUAGCUAUGUAUCCAGAUGUGUGUUUCCAUGGUGAUCCUAAAUCCCGUCAAACUGACAAUGAAGACCAACCAUCAUGCUGGGUAGAUUGCUGAGCAUUUUAGGAGGAAUAAAAGGAGGCUUUUAUCAGAUGAGUUUUCCUGAGGUUCAGAGGAAGUGAGCCUGAACGUGUCUAUUUAGAAUGAUCAUGGCUAGCACAGACACCACCCCGUAAAUGUAACCUUGACGGCAAGCUGGACCAGGCGAGGGUCUCCUCCGGUCACUGGUAGCUCAGAGGGCUUUUUAGACCUUGGGAUGCUCUCUCAUGAGGCGCUACACUCCUCGGAGCCCCUCUCCAUAGAUCAUGCCUUUUCAUAUUAUUGAUACACUCACUGUCUUUGUAUCUAAGUCAUUGCCUAUUGUAAAAUGCAGUGGUCUUGGGUACCACUGGAGACAGAGGCCUGUUAAGAAAUCAGGGGCACUCGUUUCUGACAGUUCUUAGCAGGAUGUGUUCCCAGUCGAUGGAACACAUUUUGAGGACAGCACUGAGUUGCAUUAGGGCAGCUGAGAAUAAUGUAAAAGUUCGCUAUGUCUUAAAAGGCAGCCCUUCUAACGCAGAGCACCGUAUAGCUGCUCUCCAGCCUCCUCGGACCCUAACAUGUUCCUGUGUUCACCUCUGAUGCUUUUUAAGGUUUGCCUUUAUUUUAUUUUUUUUUAAUUAGGUAUUUAUUUCAUUUACAUUUCCAAUGCUAUCCCAAAAAUCCCCCACACCCUCCCCCAUCCACUCCGCACCCACCCACUCCCACUUCGUGGCCCUGGCGUUCCCCCUGUACUGAGGCAUAUAAAGUUUGCACGACCAAUGGGCCUCUCUUUCCACUGAUGGCCGACUAGGCCAUCUUCUGAUACAUAUGCAGCUAGACACGAGCUCCGGUGGGUACUGGUUAGUUCAUAUUGUUGUUCCACCUAUAGGGUUGCAGAUCCCUUUAGCUCCUUGGGUUCUUUCUCUAGCUCCUCCAUUGGGAGCCCUGUGAUCCAUCCAUUAGCUGACUGUGAGCAUCCACUUCUGUGUUUGUUAGGCCCCGGCAUAGCCUCACAAGAGACAGCUAUAUCAGGGUCCUUUUAGUAAAAUCUUGCUGUGCCUUUAUUUUAUGUCUAUGAGUGUUGUACCUGCGUAUGUGUCUGUGAACUGUGCACAUACCUAGCGCUGGAAGAGGCUAGAGGAGGGUAUCAGAUCUCCUGAACCUGGAGUUACAGAGAGUGGUGAGCAGCCACCUGGAUGCUAGGGACCAAGACUGGGAGCCUCUGUGAGAGCAGCGGGAGCUCUUGCCGCCGUCAGAGCCACCUUUCCAGACUCUGCCUCAGAUAU
rnacentral:lncRNA from 1 species